AAUUGAGAUUAGCUUGCUAAAGGAAAUUUCUUGUAACACUUAGUGGCGGACGGGUGAGUAACGCGUGAGGAACCUGCCUUACAGAGGGGGACAACAGUUGGAAACGACUGCUAAUACCGCAUGAUGUGGAGGGGAGACAUCUCCCUUUCACCAAAGGAGCAAUCCGCUGUAAGAUGGCCUCGCGUCUGAUUAGAUAGUUGGUGGGGUAACGGCCUACCAAGUCGACGAUCAGUAGCCGGACUGAGAGGUUGAUCGGCCACAUUGGGACUGAGACACGGCCCAGACUCCUACGGGAGGCAGCAGUGGGGGAUAUUGCACAAUGGAGGAAACUCUGAUGCAGCAACGCCGCGUGAGGGAAGAAGGUUUUCGGAUUGUAAACCUCUGUUUUUAGUGAAGAAACAAAUGACGGUAGCUAAAGAGGAAGCCACGGCUAACUACGUGCCAGCAGCCGCGGUAAUACGUAGGUGGCAAGCGUUGUCCGGAAUUACUGGGUGUAAAGGGUGCGCAGGCGGGAUUGCAAGUUGGAUGUGAAAUACCGGGGCUUAACCCCGGAGCUGCAUCCAAAA
rnacentral:rRNA from 1 species